UCGGGAAACGGCCUGGAGGCCGGCGGUUCUAGCUUGCCGCCCCUCUCUCUCUCUCUCUCUCUCUCUCAAUCGCCGACGGUGCCGUUCUUCGUUUGCUUCUUCCUUCUUUUGGGGUGCGAUCAUGGGGAACGUCAGGAGCAGGCCGGAGUCGAUUGAGCAGUGGAGACGCCAUGGAAGCAGGACGAGAGCGAGUCUUCCGUCGCAGGCCCUCGAUUCAGGUCCUGCUCUGGUUUCAGGUACACCGCAACAGGCAGAGGAACUUGAGAUAUGUUAUGACGACAUCGAAUCCAGUCCACCUGAAGACAGCAGAACGGUCCUUAUGCGUGGGGGUUUAGGACUGAUGGAGACUCCGGAGGUCACGCAGUGGCAGAGUUUCACAGAGAUUUACUUGAUGGAAAAUCAGUUGACUGAGUUACCCGAGGAUCCUCCUCUUUGUCCUCUACUUUUGGUAUUGUUUCUGAAUAGAAAUUACAAGCUCAGAACAAUUAGUCCCUCUUUCUUUGAUUACAUGCCUGCUCUGGAAAUCCUGAAUUUAUCCAGAACUCGGAUCAAGUCCUUGUCGGAGUCUCUGUUCAGGUUAAGCCGCCUAAAAAGACUAUUCUUAAAUCACUGUGAGCUAUUGAGUGUGUUACCUCCACAAAUUGGAGAACUUCAGCAGCUUGAGGUACUUGAUCUUGAAGGGACUGAGAUCAUGGAUCUGCCAAAGGAGGUUGCGAAGCUAACAAAACUCACUUGCUUAGAAGUAUCUUUUUGUCCACGUGUCAAUCGUGGCACCAAAUCUGCGAAAGCAAAUGCAUUGAUUCCUCAAGGCACUAUUUCUGCGCUAUUGCGAUUAGAAGAGCUAAGUAUUGAUGUAAAUCCAGAGGACGAGAGGUGGGAGAGUGUUGUGGAAGCUGUUGUUGACGACGUUUGUGGCUUGCUGAGGCUGGACACACUUAAACUGUACUUUCCUCAAGUGGGCUAUCUGAGGAAAUUCAAAUGGUUUGGUACAUCAGAGGUGUCUAGAUCAUUGUCCCAUUUCAAAUUCAUUGUUGGCAAUCAUGAUGAACGCAUCAUGUCUCGUCUCCCAGCGGAUCUUGAGUUUGAGUUAGAACACUGGGAUAAAUCCCUGAAAUAUGUACAUGGUGUGGGUGUGCCCAUAGAUAUCCAGAAGAUGCUCCGGCAUACUACUGCAUUUUUCUUAGACCGCCAUAUGAAUGUCACGAAGCUAUCUGAUUUUGGGAUUGAGAACAUGGAGCAACUGAAAUGCUGCAUAAUUGGGGAGUGUAAUGAGAUUCAGGUUAUUAUUGAUGGAACUGACGUGUACAAUGAAGGUGAUAGAAGUGAAAUUGUUUUGGGAACAUGGGAGGAUGAUGGGAGGUUCCUUGGAUCACUUGAGUGUCUCUACGUAUAUCGUAUGAAGAGAUUGAGGAGCAUUUAUGAGGGGCCGCUGCACCGAGGAUGCUUGUCUCAUCUUAAAUGCUUGACCUUACUCACAUGUCGUCGGUUGACCACUAUAUUCACACCUGGCCUACUGGUAAACCUUGAUAGCUUAGAAGAGCUCAAAGUCGAAGACUGCCCCCUUGUCUCAAGUUUAGUGAGGUGUGAAGAUGCUUCUAUUUACGAGAGUACUUACUUCCUCUGCAACUUGAAAAGGAUAUCCCUAUCCUCAUUGCCUGAACUCAUUAGCAUUUCCAAUGGUUUACGCAUUGCACCAAACUUGGAACGAUUGAGCAUUACUGAUUGUCCAAAUCUCGAGAGUCCAUCAACUGAUGAAAUCUGUUGCAAUCAUCUGGCAGGGACUGAAGCACAAAGUAUUCCAAAUGAUGCAAGCAGAGAGCAGCCUUCUCCUCGUGUGGUUUCAUCUACAAUCACUGGUAAUGCAGACCCUUCAACUUCUCAACUCAAAAGGGAACCUAAAGUUGCUCCUCGGUUGUUGAAAUUCAAAUUUAAUGAUCUUAAGUUAGCUGCAAGAAACUUUAGUGCUGCAAGUCUUCUUGGUAAAGGUGGUUUUGGCUGUGUACGUGGAUUUACAAAUGAGGCAAUUAUAGUCGCUCCUCAGCUGCGGAAAUUUUCAUUAAAUGAUCUUAAGUUAGCUACAAGAAACUUCAGUCCCGAGGCUCUGCUCGGUGAAGGCGGUUCUGGCCAUGUUUUUAAGGGUUGGAUUGAAGAAAAUGGGACUGCUCCUGGGAAGCCUGGCACUGGGCUGGCUGUUGCUGUUAAGACUCUCAAGCUUAAUGGGUAUAUGGGUCAUGAAGAAUGGCUGGCUGAAGUGAGUUUGCUUGGUCAUCUACAGCAUCCAAAUUUGGUAAAGUUAAUUGGAUACUGCGUGAAAGUCGACCAAAGGCUGCUAAUAUAUGAGUAUAUGCAAGGAGGGAGUUUGAAGGAUCACCUCUUUGAAACAACUUUGCCUCUCACUUGGUCUAUCAGGAUGAAAAUAGCGCUGGAUGCUGCAAAGAUUCUUGCUUUUCUUCAUGAGGAGGCAGAACCGCAAUUGAUAUUUCGUAAUUUUAAAACUUCCAAGAUUCUAUUAGAUGACGACUACAAUGUCAAGCUUUCUGGUUUCGGACUUGCAAAAAUUGUUCCCAAGGGAGAUGACUCUCUCUCCACCACCGGUGUCAGUGGAACACUUGGCUAUAUGGACCCGGAAUACAUAAUGACUGGUAUGUAUUUGUUAGUACGAGCAAUCUGAUGAUGAGAAAUGUGCAAGUAACCUGCAAAAGAAGUGGUUUGAGAAAUAUUUUUGACAUGUCAAAUUAUCCUAUAGUAUUAAAAAGUAGAGAACAGCCCCAAUCGACACACCUCAUGCACAAGAUGUGCACCAAUUAUGAUUAGGAACUGAAUUGAAUAAGGUAGAUAUCAAUCGUGACCAAAGACAAGAAAAUUAGAGGGACAGUUAUGCACUGAUAAACCUUCUUUUCAUUAGGUGCAACAUAUCUCUGGUCUGUCCUCAUAUAUGGUCACAAUUUGCAGGAAUAGUACAAUCAACUGUUCUUGCACAUUAUGCUUAAGUUACUUUUUUCUGUUUGAGUCCCGCAUGUGGUCUCCCAAAUGAUGUUAUUCCCUUAUCUUCCAGUCCCCCGCAAAUUCAAUCAUUGAAUGGAUUAUAUUGCAUAUAUCUUGCUUGAACUUCUGGAACAUUACGCUCAGCAUAGCUUGUGGAAUGACUGAUUGGUACUCAUUAGUCAUUACCUGCAUUCCUUUUCUAUAUUAGAGGCAUCUCUCAAUUGUUGUUUCCUCCGAGUAUAAUAUAGGGGUGUCUUUCUCAUGUUUUUUGCCUGGGAGGAACCUGGACAAUUUUCUGGACCCUCAUGAGCUAGUGUUCCUAGGUGAUCUGGAUUUACUUUUCUGCGGUAUGCACAGGCUUUGUUAAUGAUAUGUACUGAUUACAAAUACAUAAAAGUUGGAUCUUGAGGGUAUCCAUGUUAAUCACGCGUUGCUGGCAAGUCAUUUUUUGUUUUGUUGUACUUUUUUUUGGUCGGUAUUAUUCUUUUUAAUCCACGAUGGAAUGUCCGCUUCGCCCUUUGAACUCCUGAUUAAUCGGUGCUUUUUGAUAUGAUGCACAACCAGUGAUUACUGAAACACAGAUUUAUAAUUAGGUUCUUUCUGUAUAUGUUUUUAUGUGCUUUAAUGCUACAUGUCCAAAGGAUUCUUGGUUCCGAAUGAAGUAUCUAGGUUUCUUCAUGUAGCUGGUUAAUUUCCACCAAGUGUGGUAGUCGUCCGUCCUACACGCACUACAUAAUUACCGAAAAACGUAAAUCAAACUAGGUAUCAUUCGAUCCUUUGUUUUAUGUUGUUUAGGGCUACAUAUUGUACAUCAUGAUUUGUUUUCUUGUUAUACUUUCCUAUUUAUCAUUUACAAGUAGCAUAGUUUUACUUUGAAAUCAUUAAAACGGCAGUUGAUUUAUCUUAUACAUCUAUUGAAUUAAGAGUUGAAACUUUAUCCUUUUUUAUAUUUAGAUAUUUCCUUAUAAAUUUCAUUGAAGGCAAUGCAUUAAAAAGCAUUCACUAUGUUUAUCGCAAUUGAGAUGAUUAUGACUUGGCAAUUUCUAACAACAGGUAUCAUUCUGAAUUGACAGAAUAAUUAGUUUAUGUUUAUCAUGUUAUAAAUUACUACCUCGUUGUAGCAAAUACCUUGACAUGACGGUCCAUGAUUGACGUAUGUUAUGAUGACAAGAGAUACAACAUUGUACUUCAGAAUUGCCAUCUUCUAUAAUAUCAUAAUUUGGGCUUUAGUACACUUUUAUGCCACUAAUUAUUUUGUUGAUUUCAUAACUAAUACUAAUAGCUUUCUAUCCGCAACAACGCGCUUGGUGCUUACCUUUUAUUAUCAUAAGAAAAAUAGAGGUGAUGGAAGGACAGAGA